rnacentral:rRNA from 1 species
UACGUAGGGUGCGAGCGUUGUCCGGAAUUAUUGGGCGUAAAGAGCUCGUAGGCGGCUUGUCGCGUCGGCUGUGAAAACCCGCGGCUCAACUGUGGGCGGGCAGCUGAUACGGGCAGGCUGGAGUUCGGUAGGGGAGACUGGAAUUCCUGGUGUAGCGGUGAAAUGCGCAGAUAUCAGGAGGAACACCGGUGGCGAAGGCGGGUCUCUGGGCCGACACUGACGCUGACAGCGCGAAAGCUAGGGGAGCGAACGGG